rnacentral:rRNA from 1 species
GUACGGUAACCGUUACCUUUACGUAGGGUGGGGUAAGUAACGUACGACGAAAGUUACGCUAAUACCGCAUAUUCUGUGAGCAGGAAAGCAGGGGAUCGCAAGACCUUGCGCUGAUUGAGCGGCCGAUAUCAGAUUAGCUAGUUGGUGAGGUAAAGGCUCACCAAGGCGACGAUCUGUAGCGGGUCUGAGAGGAUGAUCCGCCACACUGGAACUGAGACACGGUCCAGACUCCUACGGGAGGCAGCAGUGGGGAAUUUUGGACAAUGGGCGCAAGCCUGAUCCAGCCAUGCCGCGUGAGUGAAGAAGGCCUUCGGGUUGUAAAGCUCUUUCGGCCGGGAAGAAAUCGCACAGGUUAAUACCCUGUGUGGAUGACGGUACCGGAAUAAGAAGCACCGGCUAACUACGUG